GCCUAAACUGAGGUGGAGACGAAAAAAAGGGUCUGGCCCAGAUUUUUUUUAAGGAACAAAAUUAUGAAAAAAAAAAUUCAAGGGACGAAAACGAAACGCGAACGGAUAACAGUAGAGUAAGAGUAGCAGGAGCAGAAAGAAAGAACGAAAAUGGCGAGCGGCGCCUCACCGCAACUGCAAAUGAGGUUGAAGUCCUCUUUCAUCAGAGAUCGUCUCUUACGCUGUUCAACUUCAAGGCACCAACCUCUUCCUCAACUAUUCCGUUACAACCCUGGAACCAAGCAUGUUUCGAUGCAGUUAUCUAGAACACUUUCUGGCUUGACCAAUCUCUUUUUUAAUAGAAGAAAUUUGGAUGAAUUGCCUAACAGCAAGCGUAAACGUCUGAGACCUGGGAAAGUUUCUCCGCGGCGACAGGUGCCGAAGAAUAUACCGAGGCCUCCGUAUGUGAAUUCUAUGAUUCCUCCAGGGAUUGCCAGUGGAGCUGAAGUGCAUGACAAGAAAGGGAUAGAAUGCAUGAGAGCUUCUGGAAGGCUUGCAGCGCAGGUUCUUCAAUAUGCUGGCACCUUAGUUAAGCCAGGCAUAACAACAGAUGAAAUUGACCAAGCAGUUCACCAAAUGAUAAUUGAUAAUGGUGCAUACCCAUCUCCUCUCGGCUAUGGUAGUUUUCCUAAGAGUGUCUGCACAUCUGUAAAUGAAUGCAUUUGCCAUGGAAUACCAGAUUCCCGUGCCCUUGAGGAUGGUGAUAUAAUCAACAUUGAUGUUACUGUUUAUCUAAAUGGCUAUCAUGGGGACACAUCAGCAACUUUCUAUUGUGGAGAUGUUGAUGAUGAAGCUAAAAAACUAGUUCAGGUAACUAAAGAAUGCCUAGAUAAAGCAAUAUCAAUAUGUGCACCAGGAGUGGAGUUCAAGAAAAUUGGCAAAACAAUUCAUGAUCAUGCAGAUAAAUAUCGUUAUGGUGUUGUCCGACAGUUUGUUGGCCAUGGAGUUGGAAGUGUUUUUCAUGCUGAUCCUGUUAUUCUUCACUAUAGAAACAAUGAAAGUGGACGAAUGGUGCUAAAUCAAACCUUUACAAUUGAUAAAGCACGUCACAGGAACCGACACCGUUAAGCUAUGUUUCAUCACAAGAUUUAUAAGAGAAGAUUGUCAUAGAGAACAUUUUUCAAAUAAUGCUCACAGUUGACUUUCAGAACCUAUGCUGACUAUUGGCAGCAUCAAUCCUGUGAUGUGGAAUGACGACUGGACAGUUGUAACGGAAGAUGGAAGCCUUUCAGCACAGUUUGAACACACCAUUCUGAUAACACCUGACGGGGCUGAGAUUAUGACUCAAUGCUGAAAGAUGCAACACUUGUUAUUUAUGGAUAAAACCACAUCGAGAAACUUCAUUAUUUAAAUGCAACUGAUUUAAUUACUUCCAGUUCGUAUCUGGAACAUAGUUUAUGCUCUCUUCCGUGCUCCAAUUGAUAAUUUUUUUUUUCAUUCUUAUGGGGGAGAAAAUAAGUACGGUGUGGCUUGAGCAUGUUGGAGAGACGGAAAAAAAUAAUUUUCUGCUUGAGGUGCAGUUCAUGAAUUUCACGCGGGGCCAUUAGCACUGCACUAAUUGUAGGAACUAUUUAUGCUAAAAAUAUAAAAUGUACACGAUAAAUAUUA